rnacentral:snRNA from 1 species
AUUAGUGCUGGUAUGAUCGCAUCU